rnacentral:rRNA from 1 species
CCUACGGGGGGCAGCAGUGAGGAAUAUUGGUCAAUGGACGAGAGUCUGAACCAGCCAAGUAGCGUGAAGGAUGACUGCCCUAUGGGUUGUAAACUUCUUUUAUAAAGGAAUAAAACGAGGCACGUGUGCCUUUUUGCAUGUACUUUAUGAAUAAGGAUCGGCUAACUCCGUGCCAGCAGCCGCGGUAAUACGGAGGAUCCGAGCGUUAUCCGGAUUUAUUGGGUUUAAAGGGAGCGUAGAUGGGUUGUUAAGUCAGUUGUGAAAGUUUGCGGCUCAACCGUAAAAUUGCAAUUGAUACUGGCAGUCUUGAGUACAGUUGAGGUAGGCGGAAUUCGUGGUGUAGCGGUGAAAUGCUUAGAUAUCACGAAGAACCCCGAUUGUGAAGGCAGCUUACUAAACUGUAACUGACAUUGAUGCUCGAAAGUGUGGGUAGCAAACAGGAUUAGAUACCCUUGUAGUC